rnacentral:rRNA from 1 species
CUACGGGCCGCUCCAGUGGGGAAUAUUGCACAAUGGAGGGAACUCUGAUGCAGCAACGCCGCGUGGAGGAUGACACAUUUCGGUGCGUAAACUCCUUUUAUAUAAGAAGAUAAUGACGGUAUUAUAUGAAUAAGCACCGGCUAACUCCGUGCCAGCAGCCGCGGUAAUACGGGGGGUGCAAGCGUUACUCGGAAUCACUGGGCGUAAAGAGCAUGUAGGCUGGUUUGUAAGUUGGAAGUGAAAUCCUAUGGCUUAACCAUAGAACUGCUUCCAAAACUACUUACCUAGAGUAUGGGAGAGGUAGAUGGAAUUUCUGGUGUAGGGGUAAAAUCCGUAGAGAUCAGAAGGAAUACCGAUUGCGAAGGCGAUCUACUGGAACAUUACUGACGCUCAGAUGCGAAAGCGUGGGGAGCAAACAGGAUUAGAUACCCGAGUAGUC